AUUCUCCUCGCUUCCGCUAGUGGAGUAGGCGUUUUAUCAUCUCACAUCUCCCAGGGAGAGUAAGGGGGCAGAGAUACCACCUCCCUAACAAGAAGUGUGCAGAAGGUGUUACAGGAGCCAUGAAGUGGCUCCUGCCCAAGGCUGGGGACCAUGGAGGAAGCAGGCCAAAUUUCCUGGAGCUCUUGACGCUUGAGCUGAGGUUCGGAGCAGGAGUGCCCACUGCUAGAUGAGGAAUGCAAGAGAAGAGUAGGGAACAAGCAGGUUUUGAAGAGACUUUGGCCCAAAAAACAAGCUGAGCUGCUCCUGUUUAAAAGAGACUGUUUUUCAUGAGUGCUACAUGUCGGGAAACAAAAGAGAGGGCCAAAUGGAGCAGAUCUGCAUCUGCAGCAGCCUCUGGAAAACAUAAAGCCAGUUAUGAGAAGGAGGCCCAAGGACAGCAGUUGAUCCUGAAAACGGUCUUAAUUUAUCUCUGUCUCAUUAGCUUAAUGCUGAUGCUGAAGGUCCCCAGGUUGCUGACCAAGCUUGGUGACGUGCUUUUCGACUUGGCCUGAGGCUUAUCAGAUCCAAAGAUGAGGCUUACAGUUCAGGCAACCGUCCCCUGCUGAUUCUGGCCCUUUGUGUCUACUCACCGGGAACUUUCAUUCAUCUAUGGGACUACAGUAAUUAAAAGCAGGAGGGAAGACUGUCCUCAUUGGCUAGCCUCUCUCUGUGAAUCAGCGUGACAGGCAAAGUCACAUAAAUAAAUGCUUACCCUGCAGGAACCACCUUGUAAGUAUGGAG
rnacentral:lncRNA from 1 species